GAUCAUGGCUCAGGAUGAACGCUAGCUACAGGCUUAACACAUGCAAGUCGAGGGAACGACAUCGAAAGCUUGCUUUUGAUGGGCGUCGACCGGCGCACGGGUGAGUAACCGCGUAUCCAACCUGCCCACCACUUGGGAUAACCUUGCGAAAGUAAGACUAAUACCCAAUGAUAUCCCACGAAGGCAUCGGAAUGGGAUUAAAGAUUUAUCGGUGAUGGAUGGGGAUGCGUCUGAUUAGCUUGUUGGCGGGGUAACGGCCCACCAAGGCAACGAUCAGUAGGGGUUCUGAGAGGAAGGUCCCCCACAUUGGAACUGAGACACGGUCCAAACUCCUACGGGAGGCAGCAGUGAGGAAUAUUGGUCAAUGGGCGAGAGCCUGAACCAGCCAAGUAGCGUGCAGGAUGACGGCCCUAUGGGUUGUAAACUGCUUUUAUAAGGGAAUAAAGUUAGUCUCGUGAGACUUUUUGCAUGUACCUUAUGAAUAAGGACCGGCUAAUUCCGUG
rnacentral:rRNA from 1 species